CCUACGGGAGGCAGCAGUAGGGAAUCUUGCGCAAUGGGCGAAAGCCUGACACAGCCAUGCCGCGUGAAUGAUGAAGGUCUUAGGAUUGUAAAAUUCUUUCACCGGGGACGAUAAUGACGGUACCCGGAGAAGAAGCCCCGGCUAACUUCGUGCCAGCAGCCGCGGUAAU
rnacentral:rRNA from 1 species